CCUCAUUUCACCUACCUUAGAAAGGAUGGAAGGCUGAGUCAACCUUGAGCCUUGGAGAGAUUCGAACCAGCAGAAAUUGCAGGCAGCUGUGUUAAUAACAGGGUGCACUAAACCACUGUACUAUCAAGGCUCUACCAUUUGUAGAGACAACAUAAAACAAGGGAGCAGGAUGCCAUAACAAAAGCAAUGGACAAAAUUUCUGAAAGGCAAUAUGGCACCACUUCUAAAAUGUUCAAAACUGUUUACAGCCUGGCAAAAGCAUGCAGACCAAUUUCAAGCAUAGAAGAAUUGAUAGAAUUGCAAACUGAAAAUGGAGUAGGUCUGGGAGUAGGAUUGCAUUCAAGGCUAACAGUUGUGAAAAUUGUUGAGUGCAUUGCAAAUGAAAUUAAAACCCAAAUGUUUACCAGCAUCAUUGCACAGAAACUGAAAAUACGUUUGAUCAUUGACGAAGCCUCAACAGUAUCCUGCAAACCAGUUUUGAUAGUUUUCGUAAAAGUUGAGGACCCAGAGGACCCACCAACAAUUUUUGUCGAGCUUGUUGAAUUGAAGAAACAAGAUGCAGAGACAAUAUGUUCGGCAGUUCUGGAAAGUUUACAUAAGGUUGGGUUUACACAGGACUACCUACAAAAAAAUUUAAUAGCGUUCUGCUCUGAUGGUGCCAGCGUUAUACUUGGGAGAAAAUCUGGAGUGAGCACCAGAAUAGCAAAAGAGUUUCCAAACAUCAUCAUAUGGCACUGCUUGAACCAUCGCCUCCAACUUGUUUUAGAUGAUGCCAUAAAGGAAAUAAAGCAAGUAAAUCAUUUUAAAAUAUUUAUUGAUAAGAUAUGCUCUAUUUUCAGCAAUCCAAUAAGAACCGAAUUGAACUUGACAAAAUAUCCGAAGAACUUGACAUUAACAUCGUAAAGAUUGGUAGAGUUUUUGGGUCAAGAUGGGCUGCCUGUAGUUUAAGGGCAACCAUAGCUGUAUGGCGUGCUUAUCUAGCACUACAUCAUUAUUUUCAUGUGAAUGCAAAAUACUUGGGUAUGGCUGCCCAUCUGGAAAAUAUACAUUUUUUAAAUGAGUUGGCAUCGAUGAUCGAUAUUCUGGAAGAAAUCUCACUUGUUUCAACUGCACUGCAAGCAAGCAAUAUGGACAUCAUAAAGGCUGAAAAACUGGUGAGAAGAUCAAUGAAAGCAUUCAAACUGCUUACAAAGGGAAAGGGUCCAUAUGAAAGAAAAGUUGACGGACUAAUUACUUCAGAAACCUUCAAAAAUAUAAACUUUGUAGAAAAUCAUCGAUUUGUUGGACUUCAUUGGGAAAGACUUUUAGGAAGCAUCAUAACAAAUUUGCAGAAAAGACUGAUGGACUGUGAACAUUUAAAAACGGGUAGCCAAUUGCAAGACACUACAAAUAAAUUACAAUUUCUACAUUUUUUGGUGCCAGAGUACUGGGAUUUUUCAGAAGUAGUAGUUCCAUGGACAGCAGCUGAAGAAAAACUGCAUACAUUUGGUGACAUUUUCAAUUACAACAUUAACAUCAACGACUGUAGAGAUUUUGUGGAGAAUGUGUUAAAAGAUUCGAAGAGCUAUGCAAUUCCUGACAGUAUUAAAAAAGCAAAAGGUAUUGUCAGAACAAUUGCUGUAAGUUCUGUAGAAACAGAAAGGUUUUUUUUGAAAAUGAACUUAAUAUGUUCAGAGAGCAGUUUCUAAUUUAACCAACCUCACAACUAUCAGUGUUACUGGCUACCUCUUCCAAAAUGGGACCCUAUUCCUGCAGUGAAAAAGUGGUUCAGAGAACACUAUCACUCAGCUAAUGAUCCAGGAAUCAAGUUCAAGAAAAGUGGAAGUGAGGAGAGUGCCACUGAAAAAACGAUGUGGAAACAUCUUAAAGCUAAAGAUGACUUAACACUUUUAUGUCAUUAUUAUCAUUGGUGCUAAGACGUGACGUCGAAGACAACACUUUUAUUGCUCUUAUAUCAUAAGGGCAAAGAAUUGAUGUCAACUUGGCCACGCCCACCCGAUCACCUGACCACCAAGCAUACCCAUCGAGUCACCUGACCACCAAGCCAUGCCCACUGAGUCACCUGACUACCAAGCCACAUCCACUGAGUCACAUGAUCACCAAGCCACGCCCACAAAGCCACACCCACAGAACCGAACCAGCGGUGAAAUCCAGCUGGAUUUAUCCGGCUUGUGUGAACCAGUAGCAACGCUAGCAGGAGGCUCCGCCCACCCACCGGGACAUCAUUACGUCCUUUUUUGACCCUCUGCGUAUGCACAGAAGAAGUGCACGCGCUCCCAUUCCUGAACCAGUAGUGAAGCUCAGUGGGCUCCAUUGCUCCCUUAAUGGACACCUAACAUCAAAAACGUCAUCAAAAAAGCACAACAAAGAAUGUUCUUUCAGGAAGGUCAAACUGCCCAAGGAGCUGCUGAUACAGUUGUACAGAGGAAUUAUUGAGUCUGUCAUCUGCAUCUCUAUAACUGUCUGGUUUGGUUCUGCAACCCAACAAGACAGACACAGACUUCAGAGGAUAAUUUGAACUGCAGAAAAAACAAUUGCUACCAACCUGCCUUCCAUUGAGGACCUGUAUACUGCACGAGUCAAAAAGAGGGCUGUGAAAAUAUUUACAGACCCCUCGCAACCUGGACAUAAACUGUUUCAACUCCUACUCUCAAAACGACGCUAUAGAGCACUGCACACCAGAACAACUAGACACAAGAACAGUUUUUCCCCGAACACCAUUGCUCUGCUAAACAAAUAAUUCCCUCAAACUGUUGAACUAUUCACUAAGGCUGCAUUACUAUUAGUCUUCUCACAGUUCCUAUCAUCCAUCUCCUCCCACUUAAGACUGCAUGACUAACUUCAUUGCUUGUAUCCUUACGAUUUAUAUUGAUAUUGUUUCCUGAUUGCUUAUUUGUACCCUAUGACUAUCAUUAAAUGUUGUACCUUGACUCUUGACAAA